AGAAAUAUAGAGGUUAUCUCAAAAAAAAAAAAAAAAAAAAAAGAAUACGAGAGAGAUCACUGAGCAGGCGAAGGUUUAGUCAUGGCAGAGAGUGUGGUGAGUUUUCUACUGGAGAAGUUUUCGUCCUUGUUGGAAGAUGAGGCCAAGCUCUUGAGCGGGGUUCGAGAUGAAGUUGUUUUCGUGAAAAAUGAGUUGGAUCGUAUGAGAGCUUUCUUGCGAUCUGCUGAUGCUACGGAAGAUCACGUUGAAGAAAUCAAAGUGUGGGUUAAGCAAGUUAGAGAGGUCGCUUACGAUGCAGAAGACAUCAUCGAUGAUUUCUUGUAUAGAUUUGAGCAUACCAAGCGACAUGGAUUCUAUGGUUGUUUGUGUAAGAUGGCUCGUGAGAUCAAGAACUUGAAAGCUCGCCGUCGAAUUGCCUCCCAAUUGCAGAGUAUCAAACGCAGAGUUACUGAUAUUUCUGAGGGGCGCCAGAGGUAUGGUUACAAACUGAGUAGCACGGAGAUCGGGUCGAGUUCGGGAACCAAACCUUGCUGCUAUUCUGAGGUUAGAAGCGACGCGCGGUUUCUGGAAGGAGCUCAACUAGUGGGCAUUGAGUCAGACAAGCAACAUCUUUUGAGUUUUCUUGUGGAGGAUACCUCUCAACUACGAGUGGCUGCAGUGGUCGGAAUGGGAGGGCUGGGCAAAACCACUCUGGUGAGUUCAGUUUAUAAUGAUUCACAAGUAAAGAAUCAUUUUCAUCAAAUCCAAGCUUGGGUCACUGUUUCACAAUCGUUCAAGCUAGAUGAAGUUCUGAGACAGAUUAUCCAACAAUUUUUCAAAGCUAUGAAUCUGCCACUUCCUGAUGAAGUUGAGAAGUCCACAGACACCCACUUGCUAAAGACUGCCAUUGUUGAUGUUCUUAGUGACAAAAGAUAUUUGGUUGUAUUGGAUGACAUAUGGGAUGUGGAUGUAUGGGAAUCAGUAAAAGUUGCAUUUCGGAACAACAACAAUGAUAGCCGAGUAAUGAUUACAACUCGAAUUGCAGAUGUGGCCUCUUCCUCUACCAAAGAUGUUGGAGGUGAGAUCAUAACCUUAGAUCCUUUAUCUUCUGAAGAUUCUUGGACUCUAUUUUGUGCAAAAGCCUUUCAAGGUAAUGCAUGUCCAGCUCAUUUGGAGGAAAUUUCAAGAGACAUCCUGAAAAGAUGUGAGGGAUUGCCUCUUGCCAUUGUUGCAAUAGGAAGCAUGUUGGCCACAAAGGACAUCAACAGAGUAGAUGAAUGGGAGAUUGUUCACCAUUCUCUGCGGGCUGAAUUACAAGGCAAUACAAAACUGAAAGGCAUGCAAGCCAUACUUUCACUUAGUUUCAAUGAUUUGCCUUACCACUUGAAGCAUUGCUUCAUGUAUCUAAGUUUAUUCCCCGAGGAUUACUCGAUUAAACGCAAUGUCCUGAUUCGAUUGUGGAUUGCUGAAGGUUUCAUAGAAGAAAUUGAAGGAAGAACAUUAGAAGAAGUGGCAAAUGGUUGUUUCAACGAGCUUCUUAACAGAAGCUUGGCCCAAGUAUAUGAUAGAUAUGAUGAUGGAAGAGUUAAAAGUUGUCGAGUGCACGAUAUUUUAAGGGAAACUAUGCUUCUAAAAUCGAAAGAUCAAGGCUUUGCAGCAAUUACUAAUAAAGAUAGCAAUAAAAGGCUUCCAGAAAGAGUUCGACGACUAUCUGUGCACGAAGGAACAAAUAUAGAUGCAUCUGGGGACAAUCAACUAUCUCAACUGCGCUCUUUGUUCUUUUUUACCGAAGAAAAAGAUGUCUGGAAUAAUUUCAUGUCUUCAUUUUCUGACCAGGGGUCAAGACUUGUCAAGGUGGUAGAUUGUACAUGUGCACCUGCGACUACAUUUCCACGGAGUAUCACAAAGCUAUACCAUUUGCGAUACCUAUGUCUAAGAGAUACCGAUGUAAGUUCAAUUCCACCCUCUAUUGCGAAUCUUCGACACCUUGAAACGUUAGACCUCAAAAGGACUCUUGUACGAGAGCUACCCAGUGAGAUUUUACGAUUACAGUGUUUGCGACAUUUAUUAGUUUCUCAUUAUUCAACAAUGCAAGGUUUUAAGGCUUUAAAAGGAUUGGAAUCCCUUUCAUCUUUGAGAAAACUCUUCUAUGUCGAGGCAAAAUUGGGUGAAACUGAGCAUAUGGUAUCCGUAGGAAGGCUAACACAAUUGACGGGGUUAGGCAUCCUACAGCUUGGAGCUGAGCACGGAGAUGCACUAUUCUCUUCAAUUCAUGAAUUAAAGCUCCUUCGUUCAUUAAGGUUGAUUUCAAGAACAGAGGAUGAAGCCCUUAGUUUCCAAUUUAAAUCUUUCUCGUCUCUUCGAUUGCUCCAGAGAUUAUCUAUAUGUGGUCGCGUGGAGAAGUCACUAGAAGGACUACAAAACCUUACAAACUUGUCUAAAUUAUUUCUGAUUGGUAGUAGGUUGCAAGUAGAUCCGCUGGAGUCAUUACAAGAUUUGCCCAAUCUAGUAUCACUCUAUUUUGAUGAAAGAGCUUAUGAUGGGGAGUCACUAUGUUUUAAAGCUGGGAGUUUCUUAAUGCUCAGACAUCUCCGUAUGUUAAGUUUGAAGAACUUAAGAAGGGUGACAGUGGAAGACAAAGCAUUGUCUCAUCUCGAAUUUAUGCAUUUGAAGGAUUGCAAAUUACUGAAGGAAAUACCAUCAGGAAUUGAACGCCUAAGAAACCUCCAACAACUUGAAUUGUUUAAUAUGGCUGUAGAAUUGACAAUAACUAUGUACCGUGGAAGUCAACAUGAUAACUACUUAAAAGUAAUGCACAUUCCACGUGUUUUCCUCGGCCAGUGGAGUCCUGGAAGCAUAAAAGAUUGUGAUUGGCUUUAGAGAUGUAAAUGGAGAUAUUACCAACAUUUAUUGGAGACUGACGAGGGAGAAAUUGAAGCUGGAAAAGCGCUGGGAGGGACUGAUGCACAUGGCUUUAUUCUGGAAGACGAAUUUGAAGAAGGCAGCACCAGCUGAUAUAGUCCAUUUUUAAGUAUUCCCUGAAGUAGAACCUGUAGGAGUGUUGAUAGCUGCUGUGGUCGAGGCAACAUGGUGAGAUGCUCCGCUGUCCAUGUACCAAUUUGGAUCAGCAACUGUAUUUGGAUGAGCAAGAUUGGCUUGCGGAGGAGGCUCAGUAGAUUCAGUUCCAGUUCCAGAGGAGGUGUUCUCUCCUUGAUAGCUUAGGUCGAAUCGAUGAUAGCACUUUAAGGCUAUGUGACCUUGUUUGCCACAGACUUGGCAAAUCGGACGAGUGGAGUUUGUAUUACCACGAUUGAAGUUGUGACGGCCACCACGACCUCGGAAACCACGGCCACGGAAGCCUGGAUUAUUGUUAUUGCGGCUGGCUCGUCUGGAAUUGGUAGAAACAGCAAGAUUAGCUGAUGGAUUUUGCAGAUCCACUGUUGCAAUGGCAUUUUGUUGUUCAAGCCUCAUCUCAUGAUUCUGAAGUGCAAAUUGCAAUUCAGGCAGAGUAACAUUGUCUCUCGAAGUGAGGUUGACCACUACUGAAUCAAAUUCUGGUCCAAGACCCCCAAGUAUAUACAGAAUGAGCUCCUCAUCACUAAUCAUGUGACCUGCAGACAUUAAGGAAUCAGCAAUGCAACGCAUUUUAAGAACAUACUCAUCAAUAGGAGUGGCUCCUUUUCUUGUCAGUUGAAGGUGCGUUCGAAGCUGAAGGAUCCUGGCCUUUGAAGUAUUGGAGAAAAUCUGAGCAAGCUCUUGCCAGAUCUGAGCGGAAGAAUUGCAGCGAGCAACAAGGCCAAGCAUGUUUUCAGAGAUUGAGUUGAGAAGCCAACUCAUCAGAAAUUGAUCCAAGCGAAUCCAGGAGUUGAAGUCCGGAUUUGGAACCAGGCGAGUAGGAUCGACAGAAUCAGGAACAGUAGCCGGAGGUCGAAGACGCGCACCAGUAAGAAAACCUUCAAGAUCAUGAGCUCGAACAGUCGGUAGAACUUGAGAACGCCAGUAAGUGUAGUUCGUGCGAGUGAGUCGAAGAUUGAGUGCAGCAAUCUGAGCAGGGAUAAUCAUCACUGGAGCUGGAUUCAGUGGAGCAACUUGAGAAGAACGAGCAUUGGGGGAAUCAUUCACAGGAGGAUCAUUGGAGGAAGAGGACGCCAUUGCAGUAUAGUGAGGCAGCUUCCAAGAUAUUUCCAAGAUAUGGUUACAAACUGAGUAGUACGGAGAUUGGGUCGAGUUCGGGAACUAAACCUUGCUACUAUUCUGAGGUUAGAAGCAACGCACAGUUGCUGGAAGAAGCUCAACUAGUGGGCAUUGAGUCAGACAAGCAACAUCUUUUGACUUUUCUUAUAGAGGAUACCUCUCAACUACGAGUGGCUGCGGUGGUCGGAAUGGGAGGGCUGGGCAAAACCACUCUGAGAAAUUGUCUUUACUUGGGAAGAAGGUGGAAUUAAUGGCAAGCGAAUUGGCUAAUUCCAUUCAUAAGCCAUGAUAGAAGGGUUGAAGUACGUCAUGAAUGAUGAUAAAGAUCAGUUAUUCAUGGCUGAAUCACAAGACAAGUUUCAAUGAUGGGAAUGGAGUUGUGGCUGCCCUGCCACUCUUGAAAAUCUUGAUAAAGAAAUCAUUGGGUCUUUGUUGCCAACUAGGCCAUCUUAUGUACGAUGUGUCCUCGAAUGCAAGGCUGUAGCUGUACGGAAGGUGGAAUCUAUUCAAGCAAGUACUCAAAAUUCUAGUGCAUCACCAGCACCAACAGAAGAAGCAUACUAUUGUUUGCUUGAAAAAACAGAGAUUCGUGCUGAUGAUGACGAUGAGUAUGAUGAUGACGAGGGAAGAAUGGACAUAAUUUUCGACAUGUUCUUGAAGGAAGCUCUGUGCCUCGAAUCCAGUUGUACUUAUCCGGCUCUAUCUCUUUCAGAAUUCCUCAUAAACAAUGAGCUACAAGUAAUUCAGAACGGUGUUGAGGAGUCAAAGAAGCAAGUGGAUGAUCUUAAAUCUAAAUCUAAAGUGGAUGCAGUGAUGAUACAAUUCCUAUCUGAAAAGCCAGAAGAAGAGCAAGAGGAACAGAAGUUGCAGCAAUAUCAGACAGCAUUACAAGAUUGGACAAAAUUAGCAACUGAGCCAUGCAUAGCAGAAUAUAUGUAUAGUUUCUCUGCUUUUUCUUAUAUUGUCAUGUUUAAUUCUAGCCAUCAAUUAUGAUGUACAUGAUAGUCAAUAGUACUUACUAGCCAGUUAACAUGCUAUUUUUGAAUUCUUCAGCUGGUUUACAUUGAUAAAACUAGUACUUUAUUCUAAAACAAAAUGAACAUAUUGGUAUGUGUUAGGAAA